ensembl:lncRNA
CUGUAGAGAGAGAGGCUGUGCUGUAGAGAGAGAGGCUGUGCUGUAGAGAGAGAGGCUGUGCUGUAGAGAGAGAGGCUGUGCUGUAGAGAGAGGCUGCGCUGUAGAGAGAGGCUGCGCUGUAGAGAGAGAGGCUGCGCUGUAGAGAGAGAGGCUGCGCUGUAGAGAGAGAGGCUGCGCUGUAGAGAGAGAGGCUGCGCUGUAGAGAGAGAGGCUGCGCUGUAGAGAGAGAGGCUGCGCUGUAGAGAGAGAGGCUGCGCCGUAGAGAGAGAGGCUGAGCUGUAGAGAGAGAGGCUGAGCUGUAGAGAGAUAUGAGCACCACAGAGCUCCUCUAUUUACAGGACCACUCUGGCAACACAACAGCGUGUGAAGUGCACUCUUGGAAGAGCUUGCUCCUUGCUGACAUAGUGGAUAAUGCUAGACAAGCAGUGUGGAUGAUUUUAUAAGAAUUUGAGGUGUGUGAGUCAGGCUGUUUAGUGAGUAGACUCAUCGUUGCAGGCUCUCUUGUCUCCCUGUCCAGUGUUGCCCUCUGACAGCCUCCCUUUGCACAGCCACUGUUCCAUACAUAUCAUAGUAUUGAUGUUACUAUCAGCUCAGAAACCUUUGAAACCAGCCCUGUAGAUGAAUGAUGCUCAUCUCACAGAAUGCCGUAUGUUAGAGAUUAUUUUUGUAUGUUCGGUUCUUUAACGUAGAAGAAGCAGAAGAGGGAGAAUAAAAGUGUCUUUUUAUUUUCAUUUUCAACAUGCUGCAUUUUCCUCUUAAUAUUGUAUCAGUGUAAUGAUAGACAAAAUAAGCAAUUUAUUUGUAUUGUGUAUAUUGUGCAGAAUGCUCUCAAAUGAAUGCAAUGGCAGACUACCUUCUCUCAGUGAUGAUGCCCUAGCUAGUCAUCUCCUGUAUGUACAUAGUUUGACCUUUAUAUUUAUGGUUGUGGUCACCUCUGCCUUUUCUUUCUUUUCAUUUGCAGGCAUUGCUAACUGCACUGUGCUUCAAUCUGCAUUUAGACCAGAUGUACAGCUUCGUCUUUAAUGAAAUGACAAUGAAAAAAUAAGAAUGUAAAAACAUUUCCCUGUGUUUGACUUUUUUCAUUCAUUGAUUGUGUUUGAUAUUUUAUGGGUUAUUUACUAGGUGUCCCGAUUAGAACAUCCUCUUGACUCCAGUCAUUGACAGAAUACACUUACCUAUUGCAUUAUCUUGAACUGUAUACAAUAUACUGUAUGAAAUAUAAAUAUAUGUAAAGAGCACUUUAUACACAAAAAAGAAAAAGGUACUGUUUACCAUGAC